CUGGAGGAAUUUUAAUAUUUCUGAGCGGCGGGAGAGGAGCGGAGAUAAGAGAAGCUGGGGUGGAAAAUAUAUGAAGGAGUGAAAAGUGAGAAGGAAGUGUGGGAGGAGAUGUGAAGAAGAAAAAGAAGGUGAAGCAGGAUAGCAAAAAGGAUGGGAAUAGAGAGAGAGAGGAAAAAAAAAAGCUUUGGUUAUCAUGACUGAUAAUGACAAAAAAAUAUAUAAAAGAGCUACAGAAGAUAGGAGGAGUAAAUCUGAGGUCAACUUGGUGCAAUGUUUAUUGCUAAUGUCUUCCUAGUAAAACAACGGAAAUAAAACUUUAUAAUAACAUAUCAGGACAUCUUUCAUUAUAAAUAGAUGUUAGGAGCAGAGGUGUCAAACUCAUCUUCAUUCAAGGGCCACAUACAGUACACACCAAUUUGAUCUGAUGUGGGCCGGAUCAUUAACAAGAUGGAAGGAAGGAAGGAAAUAAGAAAGGAAGGAAGGAAGAAAGGAAGGAAGGAAGGAA